CUGGAACGCGCCCCAGGCGCACCCAGAAACCCUUUUGUGAACUUAUACCUUUUGUUGCCUCGGCGCAUGCUGGUCUCUAGUAGGCCCCUCACCCCGGUGAGGAGACGGCACGCCGGCGGCCAAGUUAACUCUUGUUUUUACACUGAAACUCUGAGAAAAAACACAAAUGAAUCAAAACUUUCAACAACGGAUCUCUUGGUUCUGGCAUCGAUGAAGAACGCAGCGAAAUGCGAUAAGUAAUGUGAAUUGCAGAAUUCAGUGAAUCAUCGAAUCUUUGAACGCACAUUGCGCCCUCUGGUAUUCCGGAGGGCAUGCCUGUUCGAGCGUCAUUUCAACCCUCAAGCAUUGCUUGGUGUUGGGGCACUGCUUUUAACGAAGCAGGCCCUGAAAUCUAGUGGCGAGCUCGCCAGGACCCCGAGCGCAGUAGUUAAACCCUCGCUCUGGAAGGCCCUGGCGGUGCCCUGCCGUUAAACCCCCAACUUUUGAAAAU
rnacentral:rRNA from 1 species